CCUACGGGAGGCAGCAGUGAGGAAUAUUGGUCAAUGGGCUUACGCCUGAACCAGCCAAGUCGCGUGAGGGAAGACUGCCCUAUGGGUUGUAAACCUCUUUUGUCAGGGAGCAACGCCGGCUACGUGUAGCCGGACUGAGAGUACCUGAAGAAAAAGAAUCGGCGAACUCCGUGCCAGCAGCCGCGGUAAUACGGAGGAGGCGAGCGUUAUCCGGAUUUAUUGGGUUUAAAGGGUGCGUAGGCGGAAUGCCAAGUAAGCGGUAAAAUCGCGGGGCUCAACCUCGCGCCGCCGUGGAAAAUGGCGGUCUUGAGUGGGCGCGAAGUAUGCGGAAUGCGUGGGGUAGAGGUGAAA
rnacentral:rRNA from 1 species